UACGUAGGCAGCAAGCGUUGUCCGGAAUUACUGGGCGUAAAGCGCGUGUAGGUGGUGGGACAAGUCUGCUGUGAAAGCGCCUGGCUUAACCGGGCGAGGUCGGCGGAAACUGUCCGACUCGAGGACGGUAGAGGGGGGUGGAAUUCCCGGUGUAGUGGUGAAAUGCGUAGAGAUCGGGAGGAACACCUGUGGCGAAGGCGGCCCCCUGGGCCGGCCCUGACACUGAGACGCGAAGGCGUGGGGAGCGAACGGGG
rnacentral:rRNA from 1 species